UAGCAAUCAACCCCUGCUGUGAGUGCCGUUAUAUGAUGGCCAGAGGUCAAAGGAAUGCCUGAAAUAUUUCUGAGAUUGGACAGUGUGUUAUUUUUAGAGUUGUGGAAUGAGAGGGGAAAAAGUUGAGAGCUUUACAAGUAGGUCAGCUGCAGCAUUGCUUCAUAUCUCUUUCAGUAUUAUUACCAUCCUGCAGCCCAACUUUUAAUCCAGCUUGAGCUGCACCAAUUGCACGUUCACGGACACUUUUAUUGUAGUCGAAACUGCUUACAGAACCAAAACUGAGCUUCAGCAAAUACCUGAAAGACUUUCAGAAGGGAACGAUGGCCAACAGGUGGAGGGGCAGAGGAUCAGACAGACAGGAGGAACCAAGACUCAUUUCUACACAGAUGGACAUGUAAAAAGAGCACAAAUGGAGAAUUUUGAAGCAUCUUCAGACAGCUUUUUUCUAUACAACGGUGAUCAAAAGUGUUUUUUACGCAGUUUUUUAGACCUGGAUGAUGUAAAUGUAUGCAACACCCCUGAAAAUGCUUUUAUUAUCAUUACUGAUUGGUAAAGCGGCCAGCUUUGGCAUCAUGUGACAAGUUCAGCUCAGACGGAACUGCCAGUGUAAAUGUAAGUAACCCAACACACACACACACACACACACACACACACACAGAGAGAUUUGAGAUGAGUGUUAAUCUCUAAGGUGUGUUAGGAAAGCACAGAAGGAAGGAGAUAUCAAAUUAAGCUCACGUAAAACUUAUUUACUAAAAAACAUCCUAGUAAAAUUUAGAUUAGCAAAAAUUCCAUGUCAUUCUAGUUUUAGCCCAAUGCGACGGGCUUCAUGAGAAGGAUAACAUGAUAAAGACUUGUUUGAACAUAUAAUCUCUGAGGAAAGAUUCCUCUGAGUUAAAUGUUAUGCACAUCCAACCAUGUUGAAUAUUUACUUCAUCUCUCACAUAGCUCUCUCAAACGUUAAUACUGAGACAAAGAAACGCAUACACGCAGCUAAAAAUAAAUUGGCAUGCAUAGUCA
ensembl:lncRNA